rnacentral:ncRNA from 1 species
UUGGGAAUCGCACGGCCGCAAAUCUGACCCGUCGCGCCUCGCGUCCACCUCGGGCGUGAUCUAUCUCGCGCGACUCGAGAUUGCGGAAGUGC